CGAGGGGUGCAAGCGUUGCUCGGAAUUAUUGGGCGUAAAGGGUAGGUAGGUGGUCUGAUUUGUCAGGGGUGAAAGCCUUGGGCUUAACCCAAGAAGUGCCCCUGAAACGGUCAGACUGGAGUCUUGGAGAGGGUCGUGGAAUUCCCGGUGUAGCGGUGAAAUGCGUAGAUAUCGGAAGGAACACCUGUGGCGAAAGCGGCUCACUGGACCACAACUGACGCUGAUGCACGAAAGCGUGGGGAGCAAACAGG
rnacentral:rRNA from 1 species